rnacentral:rRNA from 1 species
AUGGCUCAAUUCCAAGUGAAAUUAUGCAACUACCAUCAAUGUCAAUAUAUUUGGCUUUGUCUUACAACUUGCUGGAGGGGACCUCUUCCUUCAGAGGUUGGUAAUUUGGUAAAUCUGGGGCAGCUUCUUCUAUCCGGGAACCGACUGUCUGGUAAAAUACCUGCAACCAUUGGUGGCUGUGUAGUCCUGGAAACCCUCCUGAUGGAUGGCAAUUCAUUCGAAGGAAACAUCCCUCCCAGUUUGAAAAACAUCAAAGGGCUUACCAUACUGAAUUUGACAAACAACAAACUGAACGGCAGCAUCCCACACGACCUGAGCAAGAUUACAAGCUUGCAAGAACUGUAUCUUGCACAUAAUGAUCUAUCAGGGCCAAUCCCUGAACUCCUAGGUAAUUCAACGUCGUUGUUCCACCUCGACAUAUCCUUCAACAAUUUACGAGGUGAAGUACCAAAACAAGGGAUUUUCGGGAAUUUAACUGGACUAUCAAUUGUUGGAAAUAAUGAGUUAUGUGGUGGAAUACCACAGCUUCAACUGCCAAGAUACCCAAGCUCCAAGAAAAGCUUGCCAAAGUCCCUGAGAAUAGUUGUCCCUACAGCAGGAGGUAUCCUGGUCUUACUUGCAGCUCUUGCUUUAGCUGGAUUUCUGUACAAAAAAUUUAGGUCAGGGUUGAGGAAAGAACUACUGUCACCUCAGACGAUCAUGAUUGACCUUCCAAUGGUUUCAUACAACGACAUACUCAAAGCAACAGACGGGUUUUCAGAAGCCAAUCUGCUUGGGAAGGGAAGAUAUGGUACUGUAUACAAAGGCACUCUGGAAAAUUUUACUGCGGCUGUGAAGGUGUUUAAUCUGCAGCAAUCUGGAUCCUACAAGAGCUUCCUGGAUGAAUGUGAGGCACUAAGAAGAGUUAGGCACCGUUGCCUUGUAAAGAUCAUCACAUGUUGUUCAAGCAUCAACCACCAAGGCCAAGACUUCAGAGCGCUAGUCUUCGAGCUCAUGCCCAAUUUCAGCUUAGACCGCUGGAUCCACCCAGAUAUUGAAAGCCAAAACAGAAUGGGAACACUCAGCCUGUCACAGAGGUUAGAUAUCGCCGUUGACCUCGUGGAUGCUAUAGACUAUCUUCACAAUGGUUGCCAACCUUCCAUCAUCCAUUGCGAUCUCAAGCCAAGCAACAUUCUUCUCACAGAGGACAUGAGGGCUCGUGUUGGGGAUUUUGGCAUUGCUAGAAUUCUAAAAGAAGCUGCAAGUGAAGCCUCUGCAAGUUCCCUUAGCUCCAUGGGAAUAAGAGGAUCCAUCGGAUAUGUUGCUCCAGAAUAUGGAGAAGGGCUUCCGGUAUCUACUUAUGGUGAUGUGUACAGCCUCGGGAUCACCUUGAUCGAGAUGUUUACUGGAAGGUGUCUGACAGACGACAUGUUCAGAGAUGGGCUAACCCUGCAACGCUUUGCAGAGGCAGCAGGUCUUCCUGGGAAUGUCAUGGUGAUAGCAGACUCCAACAUCUGGCUGCAUGAUGAAGCAAACAAUAGCGCUGACGCAGAACAUAUAACCAGAGCCAGGGAAUGUUUGGCUGCCAUCAUCCAGCUUGGCAUCCUAUGCUCAAAGCAAUUGCCCAGAGAAAGGAUGUCAACAAGUGAUGCUGCUGCAGAGAUGCAUGCUAUCAGAGAUGCCUACAUCAGUAAUCAGAGAUGA